rnacentral:rRNA from 1 species
CUGGAGGUAUCAGAAGUGCGAAUGCUGACAUAAGUAACGAUAAAGCGGGUGAAAAGCCCGCUCGCCGGAAGACCAAGGGUUCCUGUCCAACGUUAAUCGGGGCAGGGUGAGUCGACCCCUAAGGCGAGGCCGAAAGGCGUAGUCGAUGGGAAACGGGUUAAUAUUCCCGUACUUGGUGUUACUGCGAAGGGGGGACGGAGAAGGCUAUGUUGGCCGGGCGACGGUUGUCCCGGUUUAAGCGUGUAGGUGUGUGUUCCAGGUAAAUCCGGUUCACUUUAACACUGAGGCGUGAUGACGAGGCACUACGGUGCUGAAGCAACAAAUGCCCUGCUUCCAGGAAAAGCCUCUAAGCAUCAGGUAACAUCAAAUCGUACCCCAAACCGACACAGGUGGUCAGGUAGAGAAUACCAAGGCGCUUGAGAGAACUCGGGUGAAGGAACUAGGCAAAAUGGUGCCGUAACUUCGGGAGAAGGCACGCUGACAUGUAGGUGAAGUGAUUUACUCAUGGAGCUGAAGUCAGUCGAAGAUACCAGCUGGCUGCAACUGUUUAUUAAAAACACAGCACUGUGCAAACACGAAAGUGGACGUAUACGGUGUGACGCCUGCCCGGUGCCGGAAGGUUAAUUGAUGGGGUCAGCGCAAGCGAAGCUCCUGAUCGAAGCCCCGGUAAACGGCGGCCGUAACUAUAACGGUCCUAAGGUAGCGAAAUUCCUUGUCGGGUAAGUUCCGACCUGCACGAAUGGCGUAAUGAUGGCCAGGCUGUCUCCACCCGAGACUCAGUGAAAUUGAACUCGCUGUGAAGAUGCAGUGUACCCGCGGCAAGACGGAAAGACCCCGUGAACCUUUACUAUAGCUUGACACUGAACAUUGAGCCUUGAUGUGUAGGAUAGGUGGGAGGCUUUGAAGCGUGGACGCCAGUCUGC